rnacentral:other from 1 species
UUCUAUUCUUGAUCCUAUGAAACUAAGUUGAGAGCGUGACCAGAGGGCAUGCCGGAUCCACCAGAGGCGCCGCCGCCUGCGCUCGCAGGCCGCGGGUGAAAAAGAAAACACAGCCUCGCUCGGCCCGGAGCGAAGAGGUGUGCCGGAGCGAAGAGAUGUCCCGGAGCGAAGAGGUGGCCCCGAGCGAAGAGGUGGCCCCGAGCGAAGAGGUG